AUAUUGCACAAUGGGGGAAACCCUGAUGCAGCGACGCCGCGUGAGUGAUGAAGGUCUUCGGAUCGUAAAGCUCUGUUGCAAGGGAAAAACACAAUGAUGGUACCUUGUGAGGAAGGGUCGGCUAACUUCGUGCCAGCAGCCGCGGUAAGACGAGGGACCCUAGCGUUGUUCGGAAUCAUUGGGCGUAAAGCGGGUGCAGGUGGCUUUGUAAGUCAGAUGUGAAAGCCCAGGGCUCAACCCUGGAAGUGCAUUUGAUACUGCAAAGCUUGAGUGCUAGAGAGGUAAGUAGAAUACCUAGUGUAGUGGUGAAAUACGUAGAUAUUAGGUGGAAUACCGGAGGCGAAGGCGGCUUACUGGCUAGACACUGACACUCAUACCCGAAAGCGUGGGGAUCAAACAGG
rnacentral:rRNA from 1 species